GACGAACGCUGGCGGCGUGCCUAAUACAUGCAAGUCGAACGCACUCUCGUUUAGAUUGAAGGAGUUUGCUCCUGAUUGAUAAACAUUUGAGUGAGUGGCGGACGGGUGAGUAACACGUGGGUAACCUGCCCUAAAGUGGGGGAUAACAUUUGGAAACAGAUGCUAAUACCGCAUAAAACCUAACACCGCAUGGUGUAGGGUUGAAAGAUGGUUUCGGCUAUCACUUUAGGCUGGACCCGCGGUGCAUUAGUUAGUUGGUGAGGUAAAGGCUCACCAAGACCGUGAUGCAUAGCCGACCUGAGAGGGUAAUCGGCCACACUGGGACUGAGACACGGCCCAGACUCCUACGGGAGGCAGCAGUAGGGAAUCUUCCACAAUGGACGAAAGUCUGAUGGAGCAACGCCGCGUGAGUGAAGAAGGUUUUCGGAUCGUAAAACUCUGUUGUUGGAGAAGAAUGUAUCUGAUAGUAACUGAUCAGGUAGUGACGGUAUCCAACCAGAAAGCCACGGCUAACUACGUG
rnacentral:rRNA from 1 species